rnacentral:misc_RNA from 1 species
GUCAAUUUAUUGUAUGAUAAAUCCCUGAAAAGACAAUAAAAAAGAUUAAGAUAUAUUAUAUAUUAUACGACGAUAGAGUAAGAUAUGUGAAAACUGCUCCCCUAUAAAAUGGAUGCCCUGUUUCUGCAUUCCAUGGAAGACUGUCUUUAUCUUAUUGUAGAGUACAUACUCAAAAGAACCAUUAGAAACUUAGUCAACAACGCUUACAAGGACUGAAUUGCCUUGAAGGCAGAGAGUAAUGGAGUUAUUUCCCCAAUCAAUGUCCUUGAACUGAGGUCCAAUGAGA